AGCGAACGCUGGCGGCAGGCCUAACACAUGCAAGUCGAACGGACCCUUCGGGGUUAGUGGCGGACGGGUGAGUAACACGUGGGAACGUGCCUUUAGGUUCGGAAUAGCUCCUGGAAACGGGUGGUAAUGCCGAAUGUGCCCUUCGGGGGAAAGAUUUAUCGCCUUUAGAGCGGCCCGCGUCUGAUUAGCUAGUUGGUGAGGUAAUGGCUCACCAAGGCGACGAUCAGUAGCUGGUCUGAGAGGAUGACCAGCCACAUUGGGAUUUAGACACGGCCCAAAAUCCUACGGGAGGCAGCAGUGGGGAAUCUUGCGCAAUGGGCGAAAGCCUGACGCAGCCAUGCCGCGUGGAUGAUGAAGGUCUUAGGAUUGUAAAAUCCUUUCACCGGUGAAGAUAAUGACUGUAGCCGGAGAAGAAGCCCCGGCUAACUUCGUGCCAGCCGCCGCAGUAAUAC
rnacentral:rRNA from 1 species